rnacentral:rRNA from 1 species
GAUCAUGGCUCAGGAUGAACGCUAGCGGCAGGCCUAAUACAUGCAAGUCGAACGAGCUUCAGUCCUUCGGGACUGAGGUUAGUGGCGCACGGGUGCGUAACGCGUAUGCAACCUACCUUCCACAGGGGGAUAGCCUUCCGAAAGGAAGAUUAAUACCGCAUGACAUCACGAGAGGGCAUCCUUUUGUGAUCAAAGCUGAGGCGGUGGAAGAUGGGCAUGCGUGCCA